rnacentral:rRNA from 1 species
GAUGAACGCUGGCGGCGUGCCUAAUACAUGCAAGUCGAGCGAACAGACGAGGAGCUUGCUCCUCUGACGUUAGCGGCGGACGGGUGAGUAACACGUGGAUAACCUACCUAUAAGACUGGGAUAACUUCGGGAAACCGGAGCUAAUACCGGAUAAUAUAUUGAACCGCAUGGUUCAAUAGUGAAAGACGGUUUUGCUGUCACUUAUAGAUGGAUCCGCGCCGCAUUAGCUAGUUGGUAAGGUAACGGCUUACCAAGGCCACGAUGCGUAGCCGACCUGAGAGGGUGAUCGGCCACACUGGAACGGAGACACGGUCCAGACUCCUACGGGAGGCAGCAGUAGGGAAUCUUCCGCAAUGGGCGAAAGCCUGACGGAGCAACGCCGCGUGAGUGAUGAAGGUCUUCGGAUCGUAAAACUCUGUUAUUAGGGAAGAACAAAUGUGUAAGUAACUAUGCACGUCUUGACGGUACCUAAUCAGAAAGCCACGGCUAACUACGUG